AGCCUCUCUUUGUCGGAUGAUAAGAAAAGGUUAUUGCUUUGAUGGACAAGCAGGACCUUGAUAAACUGGUGAUUUUAUAUCAAUAUGAUACUUUUGGAGUGAAUGAUGAAUGGGAUGAACUUAGAGGCAAUCACAUAUCAUCAUUGUCAUCAUUGUGAUAUUAUUAACAGUCUAUUCUUAACAGAGGUUUUAAAAGUGAAUUCACACCCCCAAAACCAAAUUCUUUGAAGGGUUUGGACCUAUAUGUGUUUGAUUUGGUCACUUAGUGAAGUUAAUAGAA
rnacentral:misc_RNA from 1 species